AGCAGCCGCGGUAAUUCCAGCUCCAAUAGCGUAUAUUAAAGUUGUUGCAGUUAAAAAGCUCGUAGUUGAAUUUCGGAGUUAGUAGGUCGGUCAUGCCUCAGGUAUGCACUGGUCUCACUGAUUCCUCCUUCCUGAUGAGCCGUAAUGCCAUUAAUUUGGUGUUGCGGGGAAUCUGGACUGUUACUUUGAAAAAAUUAGAGUGUUUAAAGCAGGCUAACGCUUGAAUACAUUAGCAUGGAAUAAUGGAAUAGGACGUUCGAUCCUAUUUUGUUGGUUUCUAGGAUUGACGUAAUGAUUAAUAGGGAUAGUUGGGGGCAUUAGUAUUCAAUUGUCAGAGGUGAAAUUCUUGGAUUUAUUGAAGACUAACUACUGCGAAAGCAUUUGCCAAGGAUGUUUUCAUUAAUCAAGAACGAAAGUUAGGGGAUCGAAGACGAUCAGAUACCGUCGUAGUCUUAACCAUAAACUAUGCCGACUAGGGAUCGGAUGAUGUUAAUUUUUUAAUGACUCAUUCGGCGCCUUACG
rnacentral:rRNA from 1 species